ACGCACUUUCCCACCGCGAAAGCCCUUCAGCAGAGGGGAAGCGAGCCCCGGCCGGGCAGCCCCUUUCUGCUCGGAUGGAAGGCUGUGUCCUGUGAUCACGUUGCCCGCACAGAUCCCUCCGCCGGCACGCUGACUCGCGGCGCCUUCACUUCCGGGUCCGCCAUUUUGUUGCCUCCAUUUCUCCACGAGGGGGGGUUAAAGGCCCCCAAAACAUGCAUCCGUGCAAAGGCCAAAAAGUAACCGUCACUGACAGGGAGUCUUAACUAGAGAAGGAAACGGGACUAAACUGGCGGGCUCGGCGGAAGCGCAGCCGGCAGCGUCCCGGACGAGGAGAUGUCUUUGGUGGACUUGGGAAAGAGGUUGCUAGAAGCAGCAAGAAAAGGCCAAGAUGAUGAAGUGAGAACAUUGAUGGCAAAUGGCGCCCCAUUUACCACAGACUGGCUUGGAACAUCACCCCUCCACCUUGCAGCUCAGUAUGGUCAUUAUUCCACAGCAGAAGUGCUCCUUCGAGCAGGUGUUAGCAGGGAUGCUCGGACCAAAGUGGACAGGACCCCCUUGCACAUGGCUGCAGCUGAUGGACAUGCACACAUCGUGGAACUGCUUGUUAGGGUAAAGCAAGAAUAUAGGCAGAGCUAUGUUGUAAA